rnacentral:rRNA from 1 species
CGGCAGGCCUAACACAUGCAAGUCGAGCGCGCCUUCGGGUGAGCGGCGGACGGGUUAGUAACGCGUGGGAACGUGCCCUUCUCUACGGAAUAGCCUCUGGAAACGGAGAGUAAUACCGUAUACGCCCUUUGGGGGAAAGAUUUAUCGGAGAAGAGAUCGGCCCGCGUUAGAUUAGGUAGUUGGUGGGGUAAUGGCCUACCAAGCCUACGAUCUAUAGCUGGUUUUAGAGGAUGAUCAGCAACACUGGGACUGAGACACGGCCCAGACUCCUACGGGAGGCAGCAGUGGGGAAUCUUAGACAAUGGGGGCAACCCUGAUCUAGCCAUGCCGCGUGAGUGAUGAAGGCCUUAGGGUCGUAAAGCUCUUUCGCCUGUGAUGAUAAUGACAGUAGCAGGUAAAGAAACCCCGGCUAACUCCGUGCCAGCAGCCGCGGUAAUACGGAGGGGGUUAGCGUUGUUCGGAAUUACUGGGCGUAAAGCGCGCGUAGGCGGAUUAGAAAGUUGGGGGUGAAAUCCCGGGGCUCAACCCCGGAACUGCCUCCAAAACUGCUAGUCUAGAGUUCGAGAGAGGUGAGUGGAAUUCCGAGUGUAGAGGUGAAAUUCGUAGAUAUUCGGAGGAACACCAGUGGCGAAGGCGGCUCACUGGCUCGAUACUGACGCUGAGGUGCGAAAGUGUGGGGAGCAAACAGGAUUAGAUACCCUGGUAGUCCACACCGUAAACG